rnacentral:rRNA from 1 species
GCUUACGGCCAUACCAGCCUGAAUACGCCCGAUCUCGUCUGAUCUCGGAAGCUAAACAGGGUCGGGCCUGGUUAGUACUUGGAUGGGAGACCGCCUGGGAAUACCAGGUGCUGUAAGCU